rnacentral:lncRNA from 1 species
ACAUCAAGUUGAGAUAAGCUGUCCUGCAGGCAAUGUUUGUGUUGACUCUGCACAUUUGUGAGCAUUCCCUAUGUAUAUGUACAGGUGAUGCAGAUGUCCAGAGUAUGAAGCAGCCUCCGGGCAGCAGCUGCCUGAAGGUUUGGCUGGAGUUUCUUGUGUUGAGCUUGCAGCUCACCAGGACCUCAGGUUGUCCUUGUCUCUUGUUUGUUAACUUUCAGCUUCUUUUCCCAACACAUUAAAGAAAUGUGCUUCAAAGGCAAGGAAGACAGCUAACAUCAAGAUGGGACGGAUAUUUUUCAUGGUAUUAUAUGAUUGUUUGUUUUUUUAAAUUAGAAUCUUCUUUUCAUACUGACAAAUGUUGGAACCCUAAACUUGAUAUGAUGUGUAGUAAUACAAGGAGAUUCAUAUAAGUUCAUGCCAGUCAUUUCAAAAUACAAAGAGAUGUUCAAACUCUGAAUAUCAUAAGAAACUUGAAGCAUUAGACUAAGAAAGGUGAAACUUUAAGAAGACGUGUAGGACAAUAAUGUGAUUUGUAUUUGUUCAUUACAAGGAAUUUAAAGGAUUAUUAAAAAUGACACUAACUGAGCAUUUUUCUUACAUACUGCCAUUCAAACAUGAAAUUAUAUCAAAUCUGCUUCAUUGAUUUUUGAAAACAAUUCGUUAUAAUUAUAAUUAUGCUCCCAAACCUAGAACACUUUGGCCCCGCCCACUCGUAUGCAUAUUUUUCAUUUAAGCGGUCAGCCUUCUGUGGCUGUGAUGUCAUACCAGCCAGUCUGCUAUGUGUUGAUCAUUCGUGUUUACGCGAGGCUAUUGACUGGAAAGUGAUGCAAAAUGAAUUUUGAAUUGAGUUGUAGCGACAAUAUGCUGUAUUGUCUUGCAAUCGGUACACUUCCAGUGCUAUGAAGACUUCUGGUCUUCAUUUCCUGGAUUUCCCCGCGAUCUGCCCAAAAGAGAGCUAUGGCUGGUGUAUUGUCGACGUGCUGAUGUUAAGUAAAAAACAUAAGCAAAUACAACACGUUUUGUACAUUACAUUUCACAAAGAAGAAUUAUGAAAGGGGUCCAGAGUUCAUGGCACAGUAUGGCUACACGAAAUCUAAACCCAAGCUUUUUAAGCUAUCGACGGCAAGAUCAAGACUAUGGUCACUAACAAUGCCAGGUUCACCGAGAGGGGGUCUUUUCAGAAGCCACGAUGGAGAACAAAUAGAAGAUCUGAAAAAAGCCCAUGAUAGUUUCAAAGCAGCACAAGAUUGUGGACAGUCCCAUCCCGAUAUUCAGCGGGACAUGUCAACAUCACACGUCACUAUCACUUGCUAGUGGAAAACACCAUUUUGAGUGUCAGAUGUCAUGAAUGGUCACUCGAUACCGGACAUCACCAGAGAUCACCUGUCAGAAGAAUCACAAGAUGCAUUCAGGCAAGACCAGUGACCAAGCCCAUGGCUGUACAGAGUGUCCUGUACAAGGGGAUGUUCGAAGAUGACAUGGCCAUUGAGGAAGAUAAGGCUGAGAAAACCACAUGUCUGAUCCAGAUUAUUUCCCUGACAACAAUCUGUCAGAUGAAAAACACGAGGAUCAGUGCCACACUGU